CCGGCGGGGGCCUAUACAUGCAAGUCGAACGCACUCUCGUUUAGAUUGAAGGAGCUUGCUCCUGAUUGAUAAACAUUUGAGUGAGUGGCGGACGGGUGAGUAACACGUGGGUAACCUGCCCUAAAGUGGGGGAUAACAUUUGGAAACAGAUGCUAAUACCGCAUAAAACCUAACACCGCAUGGUGUAGGGUUGAAAGAUGGUUUCGGCUAUCACUUUAGGAUGGACCCGCGGUGCAUUAGUUAGUUGGUGAGGUAAAGGCUCACCAAGACCGUGAUGCAUAGCCGACCUGAGAGGGUAAUCGGCCACACUGGGACUGAGACACGGCCCAGACUCCUACGGGAGGCAGCAGUAGGGAAUCUUCCACAAUGGACGAAAGUCUGAUGGAGCAACGCCGCGUGAGUGAAGAAGGUUUUCGGAUCGUAAAACUCUGUUGUUGGAGAAGAAUGUAUCUGAUAGUAACUGAUCAGGUAGUGACGGUAUCCAACCAGAAAGCCACGGCUAACUACGUGCCAGCAGCCGCGGUAAUACGUAGGUGGCAAGCGUUGUCCGGAUUUAUUGGGCGUAAAGCGAGCGCAGGCGGUUUCUUAAGUCUGAUGUGAAAGCCUUCGGCUCAACCGAAGAAGUGCAUCGGAAACUGGGAAACUUGAGUGCAGAAGAGGACAGUGGAACUCCAUGUGUAGCGGUGAAAUGCGUAGAUAUAUGGAAGAACACCAGUGGCGAAGGCGGCUGUCUGGUCUGUAACUGACGCUGAGGCUCGAAAGCAUGGGUAGCAAACAGGAUUAGAUACCCUGGUAGUCCAUGCCGUAAACGAUGAGUGCUAGGUGUUGGAGGGUUUCCGCCCUUCAGUGCCGCAGCUAACGCAUUAAGCACUCCGCCUGGGGAGUACGACCGCAAGGUUGAAACUCAAAGGAAUUGACGGGGGCCCGCACAAGCGGUGGAGCAUGUGGUUUAAUUCGAAGCAACGCGAAGAACCUUACCAGGUCUUGAAAUCCUUUGACCACUCUAGAAAUAGAGCUUUCCCUUCGGGGAAAAAGUGAAAGGGGGUGCAUGGUUGUCGUCACCUCCGUCCUGGAAAUGUUGGGUUAAGUCCGCCAC
rnacentral:rRNA from 1 species